rnacentral:sRNA from 1 species
AGAUUCUCGCAAAUGUGGAAGCGGAUCGCGUGGAGUGACGGUCACACCGCGGCGAAUUAAUUUCCAAAGACUCAUGUUACAUGAGAAAGCCACCAAGAAGACCAAAGAAAAGGAGACAAGGAUGGCUCUUCCUCAGGGAUGCUUGACUUUCAGGGAUGUGGCUAUAGAAUUCUCUUUGGAGGAGUGGAAAUGCCUGAACCCUGCACAGAGGGCUUUAUACAGGGCCGUGAUGUUGGAGAACUACAGGAACCUGGAGUCUGUGGGAUUGACUUCUAAGGACUCUUGGUACAUGAGGAAGAAACUCGGAAGAGGAAGAGGAAAGCAAAGGCGUCAGGAAUGGCUCUUCCUCAGGGUCUAUUGACAUUCAGGGACGUGGCCAUAGAAUUCUCUCAGGAGGAGUGGAAAUGCCUGGACCCUGCUCAGAGGACUCUAUACAGGGACGUGAUGCUGGAGAAUUAUAGGAACCUGGUCUCCCUGGUACUCUCUCAGUCCCCAUGCUACUCUCACCAUGUAAGGAAAGACACUUGCUUAUCCAUAGGACAGCUUUCUCAGGACACAGCCUAAACCAAUGUCUGCUCUGUA